rnacentral:rRNA from 1 species
UACGUAGGGGGCUAGCGUUGUCCGGAAUCAUUGGGCGUAAAGCGCGUGUAGGCGGUCCGGUAAGUCCGCUGUGAAAGUCGAGGGCUCAACCCUCGAAUGCCGGUGGAUACUGUCGGGCUUGAGUACGGGAGAGGCGAGUGGAAUUCCUGGUGUAGCGGUGAAAUGCGCAGAUAUCAGGAGGAACACCGAUUGCGAAGGCAGCUCGCUGGAACGUUACUGACGCUGAGACGCGGAAGCGUGGGGAGCAAACAGG